CCUACGGGUGGCAGCAGUGAGGAAUAUUGGUCAAUGGGCUUACGCCUGAACCAGCCAAGUCGCGUGAGGGAAGACUGCCCUAUGGGUUGUAAACCUCUUUUGUCAGGGAGCAAUUGGCGCUACGUGUAGCGUUAUCGAGAGUACCUGAAGAAAAAGCAUCGGCUAACUCCGUGCCAGCAGCCGCGGUAAUACGGAGGAUGCGAGCGUUAUCCGGAUUUAUUGGGUUUAAAGGGUGCGUAGGCGGUUUUUUAAGUUAGUGGUUAAACGUCGGGGCUUCACCUUGAUUUGCCAUUAAUACUGUAAGACUCGAGUUCAGACGAGGUAGGCGGAAUAAGUUAAGUAGCGGUGAAAUGCUUAGAUAUAACUUAGAACUCCGAUAGCGAAGGCAGCUUACCAGACUGCGACUGACGCUGAAGCACGAGAGCGUGGGUAGCGAACAGGAUUAGAUACCCGAGUAGUC
rnacentral:rRNA from 1 species